rnacentral:rRNA from 1 species
AUUGAACGCUGGCGGCAUGCCUUACACAUGCAAGUCGAACGGCAGCGGACCUUCGGGUGCCGGCGAGUGGCGAACGGGUGAGUAAUAUAUCGGAACGUACCUUUCAGUGGGGAUAACGUAGCGAAAGUUACGCUAAUACCGCAUAUUCUGUGAGCAGGAAAGCAGGGGAUCGCAAGACCUUGCGCUGAUUGAGCGGCCGAUAUCAGAUUAGCUAGUUGGUGAGGUAAAGGCUCACCAAGGCGACGAUCUGUAGCAGGUCUGAGAGGAUGAUCCGCCACACUGGAACUGAGACACGGUCCAGACUCCUACGGGAGGCAGCAGUGGGGAAUUUUGGACAAUGGGCGCAAGCCUGAUCCAGCCAUGCCGCGUGAGUGAAGAAGGCCUUCGGGUUGUAAAGCUCUUUCGGCCGGGAAGAAAUCGCACAGGUUAAUACCCUGUGUGGAUGACGGUACCGGAAUAAGAAGCACCGGCUAACUACGUG